rnacentral:rRNA from 1 species
UACGAAGGGGGCUAGCGUUGUUCGGAAUUACUGGGCGUAAAGCGCGACGUAGGCGGAUUGUUAAGUCGGGGGUGAAAUCCUGGAGCUCAACUCCAGAACUGCCUUCGAUACUGGCGAUCUCGAGUUCGGGAGAGGUGAGUGGAACUGCGAGUGUAGAGGUGAAAUUCGUAGAUAUUCGCAAGAACACCAGUGGCGAAGGCGGCUCACUGGCCCGGUACUGACGCUGAGGUGCGAAAGCGUGGGGAGCAAACAGG